rnacentral:rRNA from 1 species
GACGAACGCUGGCGGCGUGCUUAACACAUGCAAGUCGAACGGUGAAGCGCCUUCCUUUUUGGUGGGUGUGGAUGAGUGGCGAACGGGUGAGUAACACGUGAGUAACCUGCCCCCUUCUUCUGGAUAACCGCAUGAAAGUGUGGCUAAUACGGGAUAUUCUGGGUCUGUCGCAUGAUGGGUCUGGGAAAGAUAUUGUUUCGGUGGGGGAUGGGCUCGCGGCCUAUCAGCUUGUUGGUGGGGUGAUGGCCUACCAAGGCGGUGACGGGUAGCCGGCCUGAGAGGGUGGACGGUCACACUGGGACUGAGACACGGCCCAGACUCCUACGGGAGGCAGCAGUGGGGAAUAUUGCACAAUGGGCGCAGGCCUGAUGCAGCGACGCCGCGUGAGGGAUGGAGGCCUGCGGGUUGUGAACCUCUUUCGCCAGUGAAGCAGGCCUGCCUCGUUUGUGGGUGGGUUGACGGUAGCUGGAGAAGAAGCGCCGGCUAACUACGUG